rnacentral:rRNA from 1 species
UUACCAACCCGAUGCAAACUGCGAAUACCGGAGAAUGUUAUCACGGGAGACACACGGCGGGUGCUAACGUCCGUCGUGAAGAGGGAAACAACCCAGACCGCCAGCUAAGGUCCCAAAGUCAUGGUUAAGUGGGAAACGAUGUGGGAAGGCCCAGACAGCCAGGAUGUUGGCUUAGAAGCAGCCAUCAUUUAAAGAAAGCGUAAUAGCUCACUGGUCGAGUCGGCCUGCGCGGAAGAUGUAACGGGGCUAAACCAUGCACCGAAGCUGCGGCAGCGAUGCUUAUGCGUUGUUGGGUAGGGGAGCGUUCUGUAAGCCUGCGAAGGUGUGCUGUGAGGCAUGCUGGAGGUAUCAGAAGUGCGAAUGCUGACAUAAGUAACGAUAAAGCGGGUGAAAAGCCCGCUCGCCGGAAGACCAAGGGUUCCUGUCCAACGUUAAUCGGGGCAGGGUGAGUCGACCCCUAAGGCGAGGCCGAAAGGCGUAGUCGAUGGGAAACAGGUUAAUAUUCCUGUACUUGGUGUUACUGCGAAGGGGGGACGGAGAAGGCUAUGUUGGCCGGGCGACGGUUGUCCCGGUUUAAGCGUGUAGGCUGGUUUUCCAGGCAAAUCCGGAAAAUCAAGGCUGAGGCGUGAUGACGAGGCACUACGGUGCUGAAGCAACAAAUGCCCUGCUUCCAGGAAAAGCCUCUAAGCAUCAGGUAACAUCAAAUCGUACCCCAAACCGACACAGGUGGUCAGGUAGAGAAUACCAAGGCGCUUGAGAGAACUCGGGUGAAGGAACUAGGCAAAAUGGUGCCGUAACUUCGGGAGAAGGCACGCUGAUAUGUAGGUGAAGUCCCUUGCGGAUGGAGCUGAAAUCAGUCGAAGAUACCAGCUGGCUGCAACUGUUUAUUAAAAACACAGCACUGUGCAAACACGAAAGUGGACGUAUACGGUGUGACGCCUGCCCGGUGCCGGAAGGUUAAUUGAUGGGGUCAGCGCAAGCGAAGCUCUUGAUCGAAGCCCCGGUAAACGGCGGCCGUAACUAUAACGGUCCUAAGGUAGCGAAAUUCCUUGUCGGGUAAGUUCCGACCUGCACGAAUGGCGUAAUGAUGGCCAGGCUGUCUCCACCCGAGACUCAGUGAAAUUGAACUCGCUGUGAAGAUGCAGUGUACCCGCGGCAAGACGGAAAGACCCCGUGAACCUUUACUAUAGCUUGACACUGAACAUUGAGCCUUGAUGUGUAGGAUAGGUGGGAGGCUUUGAAGUGUGGACGCCAGUCUGCAUGGAGCCGGCCUUGAAAUACCACCCUUUAAUGUUUGAUGUUCUAACGUGGACCCGUGAUCCGGGUUGCGGACAGUGUCUGGUGGGUAGUUUGACUGGGGCGGUCUCCUCCUAAAGAGUAACGGAGGAGCACGAAGGUUGGCUAAUCCUGGUCGGACAUCAGGAGGUUAGUGCAAUGGCAUAAGCCAGCUUGACUGCGAGCGUGACGGCGCGAGCAGGUGCGAAAGCAGGUCAUAGUGAUCCGGUGGUUCUGAAUGGAAGGGCCAUCGCUCAACGGAUAAAA